rnacentral:rRNA from 1 species
AGUGCGAGAGUUUUCUAGUCGGGGCGAAACCCUGGGGUCCACCUGCGUGGGCCCGCCGGGCAGCCUGUGGGUUCGUAGCCCUGAAUACCGACGUUCCGGAUCACGCUUGCACUUACCCUCCAAACCCCAACCCUUGUGUAUCCUACCUCUGUUGCCUCGGCGGGUACGCUCGCCGGUGGACGCAAACUAAACUCUUGUAACGGCGUCGUCUGAGCAAACAAAUGCAAUAGUUAAAACUUUCAACAACGGAUCUCUUGGUUCUGGCAUCGAUGAAGAACGCAGCGAAAUGCGAUAAGUAGUGUGAAUUGCAGAAUUCAGUGAAUCAUCGAAUCUUUGAACGCACAUUGCGCCCUUUGGCAUCCCGAAGGGCAUGUCUGUUCGAGCGUCAUUUCACCUCUCAAGCCCAGCUUGGUGUUGGGAGACGUCCACACUACACGGUGUGGACCCUCCUCAAAAUCAUCGGCGAUUCGACGUCGGCUCUGAGCGUAGCACAAACCUCGCUCUGUGGGUCCGGCGUUGCGUUAGCCGCCAACGUUAUCUGAAGGUUGACCUCGGAUCAGGUAGGGAUACCCGCUGAACUUAAGCAUAUCAAUAAGCGGAGGAAAAGAAACCAACAGGGAUUGCCCUAGUAACGGCGAGUGAAGCGGCAACAGCUCAAAUUUGAAAUCUGGCCCCUGGGUCCGAGUUGUAAUUUGUAGAGGAUGCUUCGGCGUUGGACCCGACCUAAGUUCCUUGGAACAGGACGUCACAGAGGGUGAGAAUCCCGUACGUGGCCGGCGUCCCUCGCCAUGUGAAGCUCCUUCGACGAGUCGAGUUGUUUGGGAAUGCAGCUCUAAAUGGGAGGUAAAUUUCUUCUAAAGCUAAAUACUGGCCAGAGACCGAUAGCGCACAAGUAGAGUGAUCGAAAGAUGAAAAGCACUUUGGAAAGAGAGUUAAAAAGUACGUGAAAUUGUUGAAAGGGAAGCGCUUGCAAUCAGACCUGCCCGCGGUCGCUCAUCCAGGCUUCUGCCUGGUGCACUCUUCCGCGGUCAGGCCAGCAUCGGUUCGGGCGGUCGGACAAAGGCGGCGGGAACGUAGCUCCCCUCGGGGAGUGUUAUAGCCCGCCGUGUAAUGCGGCCAGUCCGGACCGAGGUCCGCG